CCUACGGGUGGCUGCAGUGGGGAAUAUUGGACAAUGGGCGAAAGCCUGAUCCAGCCAUGCCGCGUGUGUGAAGAAGGCCUUCGGGUUGUAAAGCACUUUCAGUGGGGAAGAAAGCCUUGGGGCUAAUACCCUCGAGGAAGGACAUCACCCACAGAAGAAGCACCGGCUAACUCCGUGCCAGCAGCCGCGGUAAUACGGAGGGUGCGAGCGUUAAUCGGAAUUACUGGGCGUAAAGCGCGCGUAGGCGGUCUGAUAAGCCGGUUGUGAAAGCCCCGGGCUCAACCUGGGAACGGCAUCCGGAACUGUCAGGCUAGAGUGCAGGAGAGGAAGGUAGAAUUCCCGGUGUAGCGGUGAAAUGCGUAGAGAUCGGGAGGAAUACCAGUGGCGAAGGCGGCCUUCUGGACUGACACUGACGCUGAGGUUCGAAAGCGUGGGUAGCAAACAGGAUUAGAUACCCUUGUAGUC
rnacentral:rRNA from 1 species